CCCCCUGCUCCGGGGUGCACGGACCUGAAAGGGUCUGGCGCUGAGAUGGCUGACCAGCCGAACCCGCGAACUUGAUCCGGUUAGUACCGGCGAAAGAAGAGCUCACGCACACCCA
rnacentral:ncRNA from 2 species